GAUGAAGAACGCAGCGAAAUGCGAUAAGUAAUGUGAAUUGCAGAAUUCAGUGAAUCAUCGAAUCUUUGAACGCACAUUGCGCCCUUUGGUAUUCCGAAGGGCAUGCCUGUUCGAGCGUCAUUAUAACCACUCAAGCUCUCGCUUGGUAUUGGGGUUCGCGGUCUCGCGGCCCCUAAAAUCAGUGGCGGUGCCUGUCGGCUCUACGCGUAGUAAUACUCCUCGCGAUUGAGUCCGGUAGGUGACUUGCCAGCAACCCCCAAAUUUUUCAGGUUGACCUCGGAUCAGGUAGGGAUACCCGCUGAACUUAAGCAUAUCAAUAAGCGGAGGA
rnacentral:misc_RNA from 1 species